UCAGUGUUUUUGUGCAUGAUGCAAACACAAUGACUCAGUCUGUACCCCAAAGAUAUUCCUAGAUAAAUUGCAGAAAUCACUCAACCGGAGAAUAUUGCCUCGUCCACAUGGUGGUUGAAUAGCACAUCCACAUAAUUUGCCUCCAGAGUUGCACCUUCUGGUCAUUGUUUGUCCAUUUUGUAGCCCUUUGGAACUCAGGAAGUAGUGGUAAACAAACUGUCUGAAGAUCCCUGAUCAGGUCAUGCUCUCUUAAUGUUCAGUAUGCGGGCAAAUAAAGGGAUCCAGCUCUCAAAUGAUAUGAAAAAGGAGAGGACUUUCCAACAUUUGUCACAGUUAUAAACUCUUAUGUACUGCACAUACCCUGAAUGCCUUACACAGAUUGAAUAGUUUCAGAUCACUUGCAAGACCUAUUUAAAGGAGUCCUGAAA